rnacentral:rRNA from 1 species
GACGAACGCUGGCGGCGUGCUUAACACAUGCAAGUCGAACGGAGCGAAUGAAAGCUUGCUUUUAUGAGCUUAGUGGCAAACGGGUGAGUAACACGUAGACAACCUGCCGACAGGAUGGGGACAACAUUCCGAAAGGAAUGCUAAUACCGAAUGAAGCGGAGGAGAGGCAUCUCUCCUCCGUGAAAGAUGGCCUCUAUUUAUAAGCUAUCACCUGUUGAUGGGUCUGCGUCUGAUUAGCUAGUUGGUGAGGUAACGGCUCACCAAGGCGACGAUCAGUAGCCGGUCUGAGAGGAUGAACGGCCACAUUGGGACUGAGACACGGCCCAGACUCCUACGGGGGCAGCAGUGGGGAAUCUUCCGCAAUGGGCGCAAGCCUGACGGAGCAACGCCGCGUGAGUGAAGAAGGUCUUCGGAUCGUAAAGCUCUGUUGACGGGGACGAACGUGCCUAGUGCAAAUAGUAU